UCAUGAUUUCUCUUAUAAAUAUGGCAUUUAUAGUUUAGGCACAUAGAUUGUUCUCCUUCUCCCUUUUUUUUUUUUUUUUUUUUUAUAAUGGUGGUGUCUAAGCUCAUGUGCACCUUGGCUAAUACCCCACUGUCAUUGCUCUCUCUCUCUCUCUCUCUGCUUAGAGAGAUUGUUUUCUAAUUCUUGGAGAAUUUUUACUGUGACACCAAGGCUUGGAUUGUUAGAAGUCCUUUACACAGUGGAAAGUGUAGGCACGUUGCAGAUGUGUAAAAGCUGUAAAAGUGCAGGCACCAAGGCAUGUAACUCCUUUUUUUACUAGCAGCAACACUAAGGAGGUACUGCUUAUGUGUAAAAGCUGGAAGUGGAUCCCUUACGUAUGUAAGGAUCAUAAAAGGUUCAGCACUAUAACUAUAUCAUAUACAAAGAAGCCUUGCAACCAAUACUUCAAAUUUGAACGAACCCAUACUUAACAUAAGUUACAUUUUCUGAUUUCUUCUUAAAAAUCCUAUAAUUUCUUUCUAAUCUUUCUGUGAAAAUGUACAACUUCCAGAUCUGUUUCGGCAUAAAUUGUGUUGACUUGGGUGGGGGUGCCGAUGGAGGUGCAGAUCUAGAAUUUAGAUCCUUCAUGACCUAAAUUUUAAGGGUUGAGCAUACUGAUCUAGGCAUGGAUAUGGAUGCGGGGAUUUGGCAAUAAUUCAAUAUCUAAAAAAAGAGUUAUAAAAAUAUACCUAAAUUGUUGUGGCCUAUUUGGAAGGUAAGGAUGUGCAAAUUUUUUGGAGCAAUUUUGAAUCUAAUUAUUAUUUACAGAGUACAGAUGCAUCUCCUUGCUGUUUCCUUGGAGUACCAUGGCUACUUUGCAAAUGAUAUAGAGGUCGUGAUAGACCCUUGAGUUCAUUGCACAUUCAACAUUGAUGUUGACCUGUAUUUUGAAGCAUCUUUUGGUAUCUGUCUUUUUAAUACAAAUAUCAUUUAACGAUAGAAAAGACUUACCCCUUAAUUAUGAUUUCACUUUAGCUUUUGUUUUGAUUUCAGAAAUCAUUGUCUCUUCCUCAAAUUUCUCUAUUUAUUCUAAUCAAAAUACCCAAAAUUGGUUGAUCAUAUCCGGUACGGAUCCUAUACACACCCACAUCAUGUUGACUCGGGUGCGGCAUCGAAAUUGAAGAGUCUGAGCAACUUAGAGAGCACCAACUGCACAUAUGGAAACCUCAGUCUUGCAUGUUAUCUUGUGGUCAGCCACGCAUCAUGUACAUCUGUCCAAUCAAAGCAUGCUACUUCAGUUGGAGCUUUGGUUCUCCAGGUUAUAUUCCAUGACUGUCUGUAGUCCGUCUUGUUUCCUCUCUUAAUAGGCAUGAUAUCACUGAGAAUUUCCGGUCCUUCUUUACUAUCAAGAAGAGGAAUUUUCUUGUCAUGUAUCUAGAAUUACUCCUACUAUUUCGAAUAAUGGAUAAGCUCUUUCAACAUCCCAAUCAUUAAAAUUCUUCUGAUUGGAAUGUUCCAGCCCCUUACGUUUCAGUAUUCAGCAAUAUUACUGUUUGCGGAUUCCCGUGCUAUAUAGUUCUGAAAAUAUUUCUGCUACAGUGCCCUCCCAUGCUGUUUAUGCUGCCCAAUAUUAACUCUCCUUCCAUUACUAGUUUUGAGUCGUUUGUUUAUUUUGGAAUUCACUCCAUAAACAUUUGUUACGUUUUCAAAUAGCCGCACCAUGAGAAGAAGUGACGGUUAGUUUCCAGAGUUCUGCAUCCCAUGCUUAUGCUUGAUCAUCUGCUUCCACAGUUCAUUAAUGUUAUCAUUAAUUCUCCAAGACUCUGAACAGUAAGCUUUUGUUAUGUAAUCUUAGGUUCUGGAGAAUCAAUCUUUGCCAUUAUACCCAGAUGAAUCUUCCUUCCUGAUUUCCUUCUCAGAGUUCCUCUUCUGAACUUGUUCAAUUGUUUUCUACCGUGUACCAUAGAUGUGAGUGAAACCAAGUGGGUAGGGAUGCCUUCAAGUUCUCUAUUCACUAGUGUCAGUUUUCCACCAAAGGAGAUACUGCUUCUUCCAUGAACGUACUUACUUUCUCUACUCCAAACUCUUAGACUCAUGUUUGGAUCCUUAUGGUUGUCCAAGUUAUAGUGUGGGGAAAUUCUUUAACCUUGUUAGAAUAUGAGUAGGAAUAGGAAUAACAUAUUAAAUCCAACUUGGAAAAGGAUUAUCAUGUAGUGUCCUAUUAGGAAAAGGA